rnacentral:tRNA from 1 species
GGUGGCUCAGUGGUAAAGCACUUGCCUUGCAUGCAUGAGGCCCUGGGUUCGAUUCCUCAGUACCA